UCAGCCUCGAGGCACGGCUGUGAACCCUCCUCAGACAGCAGAGGGGACAUGCAGUCUGGCCCUGCAGCAGCUGCCGCAGCCAUUCCUGGAACAUGAACUGCAGGCCCUGGCCGAGGCCGAGGCCCGCCAGACGCAGACAGUGCGAAGCCCCAGGAGCCCAGGUGGUGGAUAAUUUUGGCUUUUUCAAAAGUGUCACAUAGGAGAAACAUGAUUCACAUAGUGCUCAACAUGUGCAAAUAUUUACCCUCAGAUAUCAACACAUCUGAAAAGGACUCAAUCUCACUCCAACACAAUCAGACAUAAUGAAAAUAUGGAUGAUGCCUACCCCUAUACUCACAGGGCAGAACUGACUGAAUGAGUAAAAUAUAACUAAAGUCACCCAAGAAAAUGAACCAUGAGCUAAUGGCAAGGAAGCAGACAGAGUCGUGACUGCAGAAGAGGCACUCAGCCAGUCAGAUCAUUUGAAGCGGUGUAAUAGAUGUCACAGCCAACUUGUCCUCAGAUCACAUAUGUCAAAGGGUAUCUCCAUAAUUUUAGCUGCUGGACUCACUAUACUACCUCUGGCAAAUUAAAUCAAAUGCUCUCACUCUUGGUGUAUUCAUUUUGAACCAAUAUGAAAACUGGCGGAGAUAACAGAGAUAGAUUCCACAGAGUCCC